rnacentral:rRNA from 1 species
GACGAACGCUGGCGGCGUGCUUAACACAUGCAAGUCGAACGGAAAGGCCCUGCUUGCCGGGUGCUCGAGUGGCGAACGGGUGAGUAACACGUGGGUGAUCUGCCCCUUACUUUGGGAUAAGCCUGGGAAACUGGGUCUAAUACUGGAUAGGACCAUGCUGUAGGUGGUGUGGUGGAAAGAUUAGUUUCGGUAAGGGAUGAGCUCGCGGCCUAUCAGCUUGUUGGUGGGGUAAUGGCCUACCAAGGCGUCGACGGGUAGCCGGCCUGAGAGGGUGGACGGCCACAUUGGGACUGAGAUACGGCCCAGACUCCUACGGGAGGCAGCAGUGGGGAAUAUUGCACAAUGGGCGCAAGCCUGAUGCAGCGACGCCGCGUGGGGGAUGACGGCCUUCAGGUUGUAAACUCCUUUCAGCCAUGACGAAGCCCUUGUGGUGACGGUAGUGGUAGAAGAAGCACCGGCUAACUACGUG